rnacentral:rRNA from 1 species
GUGUCAGCAGCCGCGGUAAUACGUAGGUGACGAGCGUUGUCCGGAUUUACUGGGCGUAAAGAGCGCGCAGGCGGUCGUACAAGUCGAGUGUGAAAUCCCCCGGCUCAACUGGGGAAAGUCGCUCGAUACUGUUCGACUCGAAGGCGGGAGAGGGAUGUGGAAUUCCCGGUGUAGUGGUGAAAUGCGUAGAUAUCGGGAGGAACACCAGUGGCGAAGGCGACAUCCUGGCCCGUUCUUGACGCUGAGGCGCGAAAGCUAGGGGAGCAAACGGGAUUAGAUACCCCGGUAGUCCUAGCCGUAAACGAUGGACACUAGGUGUUGGUGGUAUCAACCCCGCCAGUGCCGAAGCUAACGCAUUAAGUGUCCCGCCUGGGGAGUACGGCCGCAAGGCUAAA